CACGUAGGGUGCAAGCGUUGUCCGGAAUUAUUGGGCGUAAAGAGCUCGUAGGCGGCUUGUCACGUCGGGUGUGAAAGCCCGGGGCUUAACCCCGGGUCUGCAUUCGAUACGGGCUAGCUAGAGUGUGGUAGGGGAGAUCGGAAUUCCUGGUGUAGCGGUGAAAUGCGCAGAUAUCAGGAGGAACACCGGUGGCGAAGGCGGAUCUCUGGGCCAUUACUGACGCUGAGGAGCGAAAGCGUGGGGAGCGAACAGG
rnacentral:rRNA from 1 species